rnacentral:piRNA from 1 species
CCCCCUUGAUUUGGAAGCCCCUUGAG